CAGAGCAGUUGGAUGAUCGCGAUUUAUUUGCUGGAAACAGCAGAUAAAAUGAGGAAAGUCCGGGCUCCAUAGGGCAAGGGCGCUGGAUAACGUCCAGGCUUUGAUGGGGAAACCCAUCAGAGACGGAAAGUGCAACAGAAAAUAUUCCGCCGAUGGUCCCUCAAAAAGGGACUCAGGUAAGGGUGAAAUGGUGCGGUAAGAGCGCACCGGGCCGCCGGCGACGGUGGGCCUUGGAAAACCCCGCUCGGAGCAAGACCUAACAGGGGAAGGGGCUGCCCGCUCCGAAAUCAACCCCGGGAUGGUCGCUUGAGGACAUAGGUAACUAUGAUCCCAGAUAGAUGAUCGUCACCUCUAACGAGGUACAGAACCCGGCUUAUAGACUGCUCUGCUUU
rnacentral:RNase_P_RNA from 1 species